rnacentral:rRNA from 1 species
AGUGAACGCUGGCGGUAGGCCUAACACAUGCAAGUCGAACGGCAGCACAGUAAGAGCUUGCUCUUACGGGUGGCGAGUGGCGGACGGGUGAGGAAUACAUCGGAAUCUACUUUUUCGUGGGGGUUAACGUAGGGAAACUUACGCUAAUACCGCAUACGACCUACGGGUGAAAGCAGGGGAUCUUCGGACCUUGCGCGAUUGAAUGAGCCGAUGUCGGAUUAGCUAGUUGGCGGGGUAAAGGCCCACCAAGGCGACGAUCCGUAGCUGGUCUGAGAGGAUGAUCAGCCACACUGGAACUGAGACACGGUCCAGACUACUACGGGAGGCAGCAGUGGGGAAUAUUGGACAAUGGGCGCAAGCCUGAUCCAGCCAUACCGCGUGGGUGAAGAAGGCCUUCGGGUUGUAAAGCCCUUUUGUUGGGAAAGAAAAGCAGCAGGUUAAUACCCCGCUGUUCUGACGGUACCCAAAGAAUAAGCACCGGCUAACUUCGUG